rnacentral:rRNA from 1 species
ACAGAGGCGGCAAGCGUUGUUCGGAAUUAUUGGGCGUAAAGCGCACGUAGGCGUCCUUGCCCUUCCUUUUUGCCCUCCUUCCUCUUCCCUUCCUCCCUUCCUCUGAUACUCCAGGGCUUGAGUACGGGAGGGGAGAGUGGAACUUCUGGUGGAGCGGUGAAAUGCGUAGAUAUCAGAAGGAACGCCGGCGGCGAAAGCGACUCUCUGGUCCGAAACUGACGCUGAGUGUGCGAAAGCUAGGGGAGCAAACGG